AGAAAAGCAUGGUGUUGGUGGUAGGUGUGAGCUGUCCAUUAUUUUAGUAAUUCCUGUUAUCCUUGUAAGCUUUUGUUGCCAGUCUAAUGGACCUUAGGGCUGUUCCAUGAAUCAUACAUUUGUACUUAAGGAAGGUCCUUUCAAAAUGGGGUUUCCACCCAUAAAGGCAAAUUCAGAAUUUCACUUAUAUUUUCAUAGUAACUUAAGGGGUCCCUAUAUUUUAAGGUAAGGGUUCAAUGAUUUUCAAACAUUUGUAUGGUAUACUGUAAGGAAAGGGUUAGGGUUAGGUUUUAGGGUUUAGGGAUAGUGUUAUGGUUAGGUAUGAGUUAGGGUUAGGUUUUUGGGUUAAGGAUAGUGCUAUGGUUAGGUAUGGGUUAGGGUUAGGUUUUUGGGUUGAGGAUAGUGCUAUGGUUAGGUAUGGGUUAGGGUUAGGUUUUUGGGUUAAGGAUAGUGCUAUGGUUAGGUAUGGGUUAGGGUUAGGUUUUUGGGUUGAGGAUAGUGCUAUGGUUAGGUAUGGGUUAGGGUUAGGUUUUUGGGUUAAGGAUAGUGCUAUGGUUAAGUAUUGGUUAGGGUUAAGUUUUUGGGUUAAGAAUAGUGCUAUGGUUAGGUAUGGGUUAGGGAUAGGUUUUUGGGUUAAGGAAAGUUAAGUAUUAUAGUUCUAUAUGGUUUUGGACCCAUAAGUAAAUUAGGCUGUUAUAUAGACUUCUCAAAUCCUA